CUUUUUCUAUUCUCUCACACAAUGCAUCUUAUUUCCUCUUCCUUCGGUCGUACGAUUCAAACCUAAAAAUCAGAUGGAUGUUUCCCUUCAACGAUUCCAUUGAGAAAACCCUAAAAUCUUCCAUACGUUUAUGGCUUUUCACAUACGCUUGGUCAUAACCCUCUCUCUCAUCCUCUCAAAAUCAUUCAAAUGGCGAAUCCUAUCAUGCGAAACCCUAAUCGGCGAUUCCUGUCCUCACGGAGAGCAGCAAUAACAACCUCUACAGAUCUCCUUAUAUCUUUCACGUAGCGAACCCUAUCAUUCAUCACUCUCCCAAUCGUUCUGAUCUUCUACUGAUUUUUUGUGUAUCGGAACAAUUAGGGCUUUCGAAUCUGAUCAGUUUAACUCGAUCAUCGACUGUUUGUUUGAUGUAACGAUUUGGGUUUUUUUCUUGCUAAAUUGAUGUUAAAAACAUGUCAAUUCGGGUUGAUUUGGUGAAACUGAUUUGGAGCAGCAGUCGGUUAGGGUUAGAAGGGGGUGUUGAUGGUCGAUUAUGGGUGCAAGGGGGAGUGGUGCAACGAUGUUGGUUGUGGUGGUUUCGCAGCGGUGAAGAUGAGUGGAGGCGGUGGUUGGCUGCACGGAUCUGGUAGUAGAUGGGUUAUAGGUGGGUGUGGUAUUCGUGCCAUUAGCAAAAGAGAUUUAAAAACAAAACUGAUGAUGCAACAAUAUCUUUACGAGAUUUGAUUAAAAUUUGAUUUACCAAGUGGAAUUCCCCUGUCGAAGGUUGAAGACAUGGAUCAUGGAGGAACUAUGUUUCCCUAUACAUGUAUCCAUACCGAUCUGGCCCAUUGAAAGACAUUUAUAUUUUUGAGAUGGCAAUGGAUUCAAAACAAUCACUAUGCGGUUAGGAGGGGAUGUGAAUGUUGAUGUGAUUGUUUUCAGCCGUACAUAUUGGAACAAUUAUAAUUGAUGAUAUUUCUCUUCUGGAAGUGGCUGCUAAUGGUUCUACAAAAGACAUUCUAAAUUUGAUGCAUUACUACCAUACAUUAACCACACAGUUUGGUUGUACGAUAAUUACUGUUCUUCCCGAGGACAUUUAUUCAAGUGGAGAUGGAUUUACAUUUCCUUUACAAAUGGAGUACCUUGCUGACAUCACCAUAAACCGAGCCUUUUAUAACCGGGUUGGCAGCAAAUGUUCACGGGCAGAUUUUGACUUCUCACUAAACAACCAGUACCUUGCGUCAUCUUCACUGGAUAAAACUGUGAGGGCAUGGGAUAUUCCAAAUGGCCUUUGCAUACGAGUUAUAUAUGGAUUUACCUCCCAGCUUUGUAUUCGAUUUCAUCCGGUAUUCAAUUUUAGUACAGGAAUAUUAAUAAGUAAGAUAGUUGUUGACGGUGAGGUUUAUGCCCUCAAUUAUGACCAUAUGGGCCAGUUUAUAUUCUGCGGGGAUUCACAGGGUUCUAGAUAUUCAGUUAAGAGAACUCUCAUCAAGACAUCUGGCUGGAGGAGACCUUUCCACAUUAGGGAUGAAAGAACUGAAGUAACUCGACAGCUGAGGAUGGGGGUCGAUCAUGUACGCUCUAGAAAGUAAUUGUGGUGGUGGUGCCCUUUGAUUGGUUGAAUGUGGUGGUUGCCUAUGAUUUCUCCACACGGUGCAUAAGGAGCUCAGCUACAUGUGGUUUUAUAUGGCUUAACGUACAAGCGUCUAGGAAGCUACAAGUGCAACAAGUGCUUAACGCUGCAUGAUAAUGAGGGGAAUUACUUAUACACAUACAUGGGAAACGACCUCGGGCUAAUUUGCCAAAGAUAGCUGCUCAUGGGGCGAAAUAUGCACUGGCACAGUCGUUGCCGCAUAAGCGUAGCAUCAGUCUAACUCAGAUCAUGAGUAUCUCAUGGCACUUAUAGCACUUAUAGGGUCUGGAUUCUGGAAUAGAGGUCAUGGUUGGGGUCUCUAAUGAUCGGUUCGCUACUGUUAGUUCGUCUACUGCUGCUUCUGAUUUGUGGGUUGCUUAGAAUGUCACAAGAUAGAUGGUUAAAAGUGGAGCUGAUAUUAUUAAGUGAUGAUCGACUGGUUGCUUUUUUUGGCGGACUGUAAAUCGAGUGGUUUUGAAAUGAUAUUAUUAAGUGAUGCCUUUGUAAACAUUUAGUAAAGAUGUUUGUUUGAGAUUAAUUUAUAAAGUUGUAUCUGCCGAUUACACUACAUCUAUGUAACUCAAAUAAAGUGGCAUCAUCUUAGUAAACUUAGGGGGCGUUUGGUUCA